rnacentral:rRNA from 1 species
AGAGUUUGAUCCUGGCUCAGAACGAACGCUGGCGGCAGGCUUAACACAUGCAAGUCGAACGCCCCGCAAGGGGAGUGGCAGACGGGUGAGUAACACGUGGGAACAUGCCCAAAGGUACGGAAUAUUCCCGGGAAACUGGGAGCAAUACCGUAUGUGCCCGAAAGGGGAAAGAUUUAUCGCCUUUGGAUUGGCCCGCGUCAGAUUAGGUAGUUGGUGGGGUAAUGGCCUACCAAGCCGACGAUCUGUAGCUGGUCUGAGAGGACGACCAGCCACACUGGGACUGAGACACGGCCCAGACUCCUACGGGAGGCAGCAGUGGGGAAUCUUGGACAAUGGGCGCAAGCCUGAUCCAGCCAUGCCGCGUGGAUGAUGAAGGCCCUAGGGUUGUAAAAUCCUUUCGUUGGGGACGAUAAUGACGGUACCCAAAGAAGAGUC